rnacentral:lncRNA from 1 species
AUGGAUUGUUUAGGCAGAUUCUGGCACAGAACACGGCUGAUAUUAGAACCUCCCCUCCCCCAGGGUCAUGACCUUGGGAAGAAGAGAUGGAUAAGUAAACCCUUAGACCCAUCUCAAUCUUACCUCCUCCAUAAGUUCUUUCCUAUAAUAAUUGUACCUUAUUCUUCCUUGUUCUUCCAUCUUCUAUAUCACGUUAUCUGGACAGCGGUUAGGCCCCUCUCUUCCUUCAAGGCUGAAGACUUCCAUAGUCAGUUGAGACUCUGCUUCCCACAUUAUAAUGAAGGUACUUGCUCUCUAAAUGACUCUCUAGUCCUGAUUGUGCUAAAUAGGGUUUCUGUGGUUUCAGAUGAGGACCAUUUUUUGUUGUUAUUUAAAUGCUGAUGGCCUCCCAGACAUUGUAGAAUCAGUGGGGUGCUGAGGAGUGAGGGAGAGGAAGCUUCUUUGCCAGUCUACAAAGAAUUGGGGUAGGAAGCCAUGAAAAGAACCCCCGGAGUUUCUAAAACCUCUCAACUGGAGUGGAAGAGGAGGGGUGUCCUUUGUAAAUUAUCCAAACACAUUUCCAUAAAAGUUGAGCAUUUGUACUAAAAUGGGAUCUUGGCUUCAUUUUCCCUGCAAAUGGCCAGGGAGAAGGAAGCACUCUCUCAUUGGGUGCAGAGAAGGAAAAAUAUGGCACCCUGCCUAGAAUGGAGAUUUUAUGUUUUACAGAAAUGGCUUAGGGAGGACAUCCCGCAAGAAGCUGUUGAUCAGUGAAAUGUGUAUUUGCUCAAAACACGCUUUCCCAGCUGAGCCCCACCCCUUCGUUCCAAGUCUUCCUGGCGGGGUCCUGCACAUUUGGCUCCCCCGUCACCUUGUUUAGGACUGUUUCUGCCGAGGAUCACACUGUGCAGUUUCAAAGUCAUUCUGCUAAUGUGAGUGCUUCUCCUAUUUUAUGCAUCAGAAGGCAUUCAAAAUCUGUCCACAGUUGAGAGCAUCAGAAGAACAAAACAAAACAGGUGUUUAUAAAAGCUAACUUACUAUAUGCCCGACCAAUUCUAAAUACUUUACAAAUACUAACUCAUUUAAUACUCACAACAAACAGUUGUUGCACUUAUCAUCACCCAUUUAAAGAAGACUUAGGCAUAAACAUGUUAGUUUGCCCAGGGUCACAAAGCUCGCAAGUGAUGGAGCCUGUAUUUCAUUCCGAGCUGUCUCACAACACAGCUCACACUUUAAAGCACAAUACUGUAAUAAAAAUAAUACCUACUUCAUGGGGUUGUUCUGAAGAUCAAAUGAGAUCAUCAAGAAGGAUAAGCUGUAAUUAUCCAAUGGGGGAGAAGCAGAA